GCUAAAAAUAGAAAAAGAAAGAGGGAAAAGGAGAUGGCAUGUCAGGGGAUGCAACAGCAGCUAAAUAAGUGGAUGGUGAAAGGCAACAGCUGCUCAUGUUAGCUGUGCUGUCAGACAUACAGACUACAGUUACAUCUGCUGGGUGACAUCAUCAGCAGCAACCGGAGUCAACAAAGGACAGAGGGAUAUUCAUGCAAAUAGGAGGCACAGAGUUAGGUGAGCUGAAAUUCAUGGCGCUCUGGAACCACAGUGUUGAUCUAAACAAUGAGAAGACGGUGAAGCUGUCCUGUGCCGGACCGUACAUUGUCUAUCUGUGGGCAUGUGUGAACAGCUACAACACUGACACAGUUGUCAACCUGACAUUGGAACAGGGGAAUCAAUCCUUCCACCUGCAGACCCUGCAAAAAAAAGAGUGCAAGGAGAUGCAAGGAGUUUUCAUGCUCUCUAAUAGAAACGAAGUCACGUUGAAAGUCAGUCACAUCAAAGACACCUUCAAGAUCGAAGACCUCUUCUUAGGCCUGCACUACAUGCUAGGAGCACAGUGCUUCCAUCAUCCACUUCUUGAUGAAAAAUAGAAACAAUUUUUGGAUAUAAAGCUUUUUAAGGUGCUCGUUCUUCAGAAGAGCUGUUUAAAUGAUAAAACUAUGACAUGACCCUCAGUGUGAGUUACCAUUUAGAAAUAUCUCUUGUUUUCCCCGAUUUGAAACUUUCCUGUGUUUGAAGUAUAAUGAUGAUGCCAUAGUCAGACUUUUCCUGGACCAAAAGUAUAACCAUGAAGCUAAAGAAGAAGAUUCAGAGAGCUGCAAAGACAUUUUUUAUUUUAUUUUUUUCGUAGUGGAAGAGUGUGUUAUUUUUCCACACUGUACUGAAGCGUCCUGGCUCUUCAAGACGGACUAGUUGUGAAACACCUACUGCAUCACAGUGGAAGUGGGCGAUGACGUGGUAUCAACCGUAAUGGCACUAUGUCAGGUCAAAGAGAUCACAACUCACCACAAUUUGGAUUAGUGGCGGUUCCAUAAGCUCAUUGAAUGUAUUGAUACUCUGUGGAUGAAAGAGAAUUUAUAUGAAGUAACCAAUUGCAGAAAUUUUUUCAAGCUACUUCUGAUCAAUGUACAUAGUACUGUAAUUUGAGCAGAAAUUAUUAGAACACCCUCAGAUAUUGUCCUUUUACAGUGUUCAAAUAGUGACAUAGCAAUAAUGUUCUCAAUGUUUGUCAUUAUCAUUAUAUUUAUGUAAAAACUGAAAGAAAACCCCAUGUAUGAAAGGAAAUACCAAAGGGUGACAUUUCUAUUUUAGUUUAGGCUUUGGAACAGAUAUAGAAAUUAAGGUUGUUUUUUAAGAUUUUUUAAUGAUCUAAAACAGUUUAAUUUUGUAAACUGUAUGUGAUUGAAUGUUUGAUGAUUUAUUUAAAUCAGAGUCAUUGGAUAAUGUAAGGAUUUAAUCCACGCUGUUAGAAACUUUUGAUAGUGUGCUUUCCUUUCAAGAGUACAUGUUGGAAAAUGUAUUUAUUGAAAUUAAAUUAAAGUAUGUUUUUUAUUUAAUCAGACCACUAUUAUUGUGAUGGCGAAGAAAAGCACUA
ensembl:lncRNA